UCCAAACUCCUACGGGAGGCAGCAGUGGGGAAUAUUGCACAAUGGGGGAAACCCUGAUGCAGCAACGCCGCGUGAGUGGAGAAGUAUUUCGGUAUGUAAAGCUCUAUCAGCAGGGAAGAUAAUGACGGUACCUGACUAAGAAGCUCCGGCUAAAUACGUGCCAGCAGCCGCGGUAAUACGUAUGGAGCAAGCGUUAUCCGGAUUUACUGGGUGUAAAGGGUGCGUAGGUGGCAGUGCAAGUCAGAUGUGAAAGGCCGGGGCUCAACCCCGGAGCUGCAUUUGAAACUGCUCGGCUAGAGUACAGGAGAGGCAGGCGGAAUUCCUAGUGUAGCGGUGAAAUGCGUAGAUAUUAGGAGGAACACCAGUGGCGAAGGCGGCCUGCUGGACUGUUACUGACACUGAGGCACGAAAGCGUGGGGA
rnacentral:rRNA from 1 species